AGACCGCAGCUUUCUUUAAAGCAGCGUCGUAGAAAGAGAGAGUUACGACACUCCCAUUGACUUCUAUAGAAAGAAUGGAAUGCGGAAGUCACGUGGUUCAUGGAGCUGCUAAUAGGUCCAAACACCAGCAGCUCCAGCAUUGGACGUAGUUCAUUCUCGGUGCUUCGUAAGGAUUUUUACGCUAGCUCAUUGUAAGCAUGACCGAUUGGUGCAUCCUAAUGCAGCACACCCAACCAUGGGAGGUCAGCAAAUGUGGUGACUGACUUCAAAAGGAGCUGCUGCCAAUGAUGCCAAGGAGGAUGAACCCUCAUUCGGACUUGGGCACAUUUCUACCUUGUCCAGUUUUGAUCAGAUACAGUUUAUUGGUGCAGAUGUAAUUAAUAAACUGAAGAAAUGGUA